rnacentral:rRNA from 1 species
UACGUAGGGUGCAAGCGUUGUCCGGAAUUAUUGGGCGUAAAGAGCUCGUAGGCGGUUCGUCGCGUCGGCUGUGAAAACCCGGAGCUCAACUCCGGGCCUGCAGUCGAUACGGGCGGACUUGAGUGUUGCAGGGGAGACUGGAAUUCCUGGUGUAGCGGUGAAAUGCGCAGAUAUCAGGAGGAACACCGGUGGCGAAGGCGGGUCUCUGGGCAACUACUGACGCUGAGGAGCGAAAGCGUGGGGAGCGAUCCGG